rnacentral:rRNA from 1 species
UACGGGGGGGGCAAGCGUUGUUCGGAAUUACUGGGCGUAAAGGGCGCGUAGGCGGCCUGCUAAGUCGAACGUGAAAUCCCUGGGCUCAACCCAGGAACUGCGUCCGAUACUGGUUGGCUUGAAUCCGGGAGAGGGACGUGGAAUUCCAGGUGUAGCGGUGAAAUGCGUAGAUAUCUGGAGGAACACCGGUGGCGAAGGCGACGUCCUGGACCGGCAUUGACGCUGAGGCGCGAAAGUGUGGGGAUCAAACAGG